rnacentral:rRNA from 1 species
GUGUCAGCAGCCGCGGUAAGACAGAGGGGGCAAGCGUUGCUCGGAAUUACUGGGCGUAAAGGGCGCGUAGGCGGGAUGGCAAGUCGGUCGUGAAAUCCCUCGGCUCAACCGAGGAACGUCGAUCGAUACUGCUGUUCUUGAGGAUUGCAGAGGAGACUGGAAUUCCCGGUGUAGCGGUGAAAUGUGUAGAGAUCGGGAGGAACACCGGUGGCGAAGGCGGGUCUCUGGGCAAUUCCUGACGCUGAGGCGCGAAAGCGUGGGGAGCAAACGGGAUUAGAAACCCCCGUAGUCC